CGGACGGGUGGGUAAUGUCUGGGAAACUGCCCGAUGGAGGGGGAUAACUACUGGAAACGGUAGCUAAUACCGCAUAACGUCGCAAGACCAAGAGGGGGACCUUCGGGCCUCUUGCCAUCGGAUGUGCCCAGAUGGGAUUAGCUAGUAGGUGGGGUAACGGCUCACCUAGGCGACGAUCCCUAGCUGGUCUGAGAGGAUGACCAGCCACACUGGAACUGAGACACGGUCCAG
rnacentral:rRNA from 1 species